UACGGAGGGGGCUAGCGUUGUUCGGAAUUACUGGGCGUAAAGCGCACGUAGGCGGCUUUGUAAGUUAGAGGUGAAAGCCCAGGGCUCAACCCUGGAAUUGCCUUUAAGACUGCAUCGCUAGAAUCCAGGAGAGGUGAGUGGAAUUCCGAGUGUAGAGGUGAAAUUCGUAGAUAUUCGGAAGAACACCAGUGGCGAAGGCGGCUCACUGGACUGGUAUUGACGCUGAGGUGCGAAAGCGUGGGGAGCAAACAGG
rnacentral:rRNA from 1 species